rnacentral:ncRNA from 1 species
GCAAGGACCCCGCUUCGGGUCCUCCGGACGAGGGAUCAGUACCCGGCGCGCGACAAGACUGGCCAUG